rnacentral:rRNA from 1 species
AAAACUUUCAACAACGGAUCUCUUGGCUCUGGCAUCGAUGAAGAACGCAGCGAAAUGCGAUAAGUAAUGUGAAUUGCAGAAUUCAGUGAAUCAUCGAAUCUUUGAACGCACAUUGCGCCCGCCAGUAUUCUGGCGGGCAUGCCUGUUCGAGCGUCGUU